rnacentral:rRNA from 1 species
UACGUAGGGUGCAAGCGUUGUCCGGAAUUAUUGGGCGUAAAGAGCUUGUAGGCGGUUUGUCGCGUCUGCUGUGAAAUUUCGGGGCUCAACCCCGAACUUGCAGUGGGUACGGGCAGACUAGAGUGUGGAAGGGGAGACUGGAAUUCCUGGUGUAGCGGUGAAAUGCGCAGAUAUCAGGAGGAACACCGAUGGCGAAGGCAGGUCUCUGGGCCAUAACUGACGCUGAGAAGCGAAAGCAUGGGGAGCGAACAGG